CAAAUUUCAUCUACCAAAUUCAAUCCCCAUAUUAUUCCUAAUUCACAUCCUUUCUAUCAUCGUUCCUAUAAAUCUUCUUAUAUUCUUCCAUACAGUUCUGUGGCCGGAUUAUCUAUAUAAAACUCUUGCCACCAAUAUGACAUCAUCAUCAUCAUCAUCACUACUCUUAUGUCAUUCAUCACUCAGAUAGUCCUUUUAUCAUUCUUGUCACACCUCUAAUUACAGGAGACAAUUAUGGAUCAUGGAGUCAUGUAAAAAAGCAAACUUGGUUUUGUUGAUAGGUCACUCACGCUUCUAAAGGAGUAAGACGAUAUUCUCAACUCGGAAUUUUAUAAUGAUUUGAUUGGAAGUUGGAUUUUAAUUCUGUCUUACCUAAAAUUCAUCCAAUUAUCUUGUAUGUUGAAAUUGCAGCACAUAUCUGGAUGGAUAUGAAUGAUCAUUUUUCUCAGUCGAAUGUUCCUAAAAUCAAUCAAUUGUAACAGUCAAUUUAUGUCCUCGAGCAGGAAGGCAUGUUUGUUUCAUUACAUUUUACACAACUCAAAUCUUUAUGGGACGAACUCAAUUCCAUUAUCUUUGUCACUCCAUGUAUAUUUGGUAAUACCAAUAAUAUUGUUGAUCAACAAAAUCAAGAGCAUGACAUGAAGUUUCUUCAGGGACUCCAUGAUUGUUUUUCAGCUAUUCAUAGUCAAAUUAUCUUGAUUUAGCAGCGCUUCGGGCGUAUAAACCUCCAUUCCAUCCUUCUAAAAAGCGCCAAUGUCCUUUUUGUGAACAUCGUAACAAGCAUGGUCAUACUCCUUUUUAGUACGUAUUACCAAAUCCAUGGCUUCCCAUAUAAGUCGGUAAAAAAAAUCGGGCACAUCGCUUUCUACUUCCACUAUUUUUGCUAGUCAAUUGACACUUGAACAAUACAAUAAGCUUCUUGCACUUCUAACCAAAGAAGAAUAUGGUGGAUCAUCAAUCCAUUUGGGAGGUACAGCACUAACUUAUCUAUCCUCUAGUUGGAUUAUUGAUUUUGGUGUUUUUAAUCAUAUAUGUACAUCUCUUUCAUUUUUUCCUUCACAUUCAAUUUUUCGUAGAAGUGUGUUUUCAAC
rnacentral:lncRNA from 1 species